UGGCCUUUGUGGCGAUCCGAGGGUUGACGGAAGACGGCGACACAGCGCUGGACAACGUGGCUGUCAGGAGUGGGCUUUGCGAUGUCUCCAGUUCUACGACUCCUCCUACAACAAUCCCAGAAACAACUCCUCUCUUCACCACCCCACUCUGGACAGCCAUGCCAACUCAGGCACCAG